UGGGGAAUAUUGCGCAAUGGGGGAAACCCUGACGCAGCGACGCCGCGUGUGGGAAGAAGGCCUUCGGGUCGUAAACCACUGUCAAGAGGGAAGAACCGCAUGGGGGCGAACAGGCCCUGUGCCUGACGGUACCUCUGGAGGAAGCAUCGGCUAACUCCGUGCCAGCAGCCGCGGUAAUACGGAGGAUGCGAGCGUUAUCCGGAUUCAUUGGGUUUAAAGGGUGCGUAGGCGGACUAUUAAGUCAGCGGUGAAAUCCUGCAGCUUAACUGCAGAACUGCCAUUGAUACUGAUCAGCUUGAGGCUAGUAAAGGAGAGCGGAAUUCCCGGUGGAGCGGUGAAAUGCGUAGAUAUCGGGAGGAACACCAGAGGCGUAGGCGGUUCUCUAGGCUAGUCCUGACACUGAGACACGAAAGCUAGGGGAGCAAACG
rnacentral:rRNA from 1 species